AUUGAACGCUGGCGGCAGGCCUAACACAUGCAAGUCGAGCGAGAAAGGUCUUCGGACUGAGUACAGCGGCGGACGGGUGAGUAACGCGUAGGAAUCUACCUGGUAGUGGGGGACAACAUGGGGAAACCCAUGCUAAUACCGCAUACGCCCUAUGGGGGAAAGCGGGGGACCUUCGGGCCUCGCGCUAUCAGAUGAGCCUGCGUAGGAUUAGCUUGUUGGUGAGGUAAAGGCUCACCAAGGCGACGAUCCUUAGCUGGUCUGAGAGGAUGAUCAGCCACACUGGAACUGAGACACGGUCCAG
rnacentral:rRNA from 1 species